rnacentral:rRNA from 1 species
AACGAACGCUGGCGGCAGGCUUAACACAUGCAAGUCGAGCGCCCCGCAAGGGGAGCGGCAGACAGGUGAGUAACGCGUGGGAAUCUACCCAUCUCUACGGAAUAACGCAUGGAAACGUGUGCUAAUACCGUAUACGUCCUUCGGGAGAAAGAUUUAUCGGAGAUGGAUGAGCCCGCGUUGGAUUAGCUAGUUGGUGGGGUAAAGGCCUACCAAGGCGACGAUCCAUAGCUGGUCUGAGAGGAUGAUCAGCCACACUGGGACUGAGACACGGCCCAGACUCCUACGGGAGGCAGCAGUGGGGAAUAUUGGACGAUGGGCGCAAGCCUGAUCCAGCCAUGCCGCGUGAGUGAUGAAGGCCCUAGGGUUGUAAAGCUCUUUCACCGGCGAAGAUAGUGACGGUACCCGCAGAAGAAGCACCGGCCAACUACGUGCCAGCCGCCGCCGUAACAC